AGAGUUUGAUUCUGGCUCAGGACGAACGCUGGCGGCGUGCUUAACACAUGCAAGUCGAACGGUGACGCACCUUCGGGUGCCGAUCAGUGGCGAACGGGUGAGUAACACGUGGGCAACCUGCCCCUGACUUCGGGAUAACCCCUCGAAAGAGGAGCUAAUACCGGAUAUCAUCGCCCCAGGCAUCUGGGGCGGUCGAAAGUUUUUCGGUCAGGGAUGGGCCCGCGGCCUAUCAGCUUGUUGGUGGGGUGACGGCCCACCAAGGCGACGACGGGUAGCCGGCCUGAGAGGGCGACCGGCCACACUGGGACUGAGACACGGCCCAGACUCCUACGGGAGGCAGCAGUGGGGAAUAUUGCGCAAUGGGCGAAAGCCUGACGCAGCAACGCCGCGUGAGGGAUGAAGGUUCUCGGAUCGUAAACCUCUUUCAGCAGGGACGAAGCGAAAGUGACUGUACCUGCAGAAGAAGCGCCGGCUAACUACGUGCCAGCCGCCGCGGUAA
rnacentral:rRNA from 1 species